ACUUGGCUAAAAACUGCCUCUUUUUUUUUUUGUUAUCCUCUUUAGGGUUAAAAAAAUGUAUGGCAUACUUUACCAAGAAUCAAAGAUUGUGCCUGGCAGCAUAAUUGACAGAGAGAAGCUGAGCAAGUGUACUACUGCUGUUUAUAAAAAUGUACUGCAUCUCUUGAUUGCAUCAAAGGCCAUUUCACCUGAUUGACCUAUACCAUCUAGAUCUGUGUAAGUACACUCUGUGAUGUUCACAGGACAGAACCACCUAACAAGGUCUUUCUCAGAACAUACCCUGUCCUUAAGCUGUGAAACACUGUCUUCAUGAAUUAAACUCAUCAGUGUAUCAAAAGCAUAGGGCAUAACUAGUAGACAGGAUUUGUUACCAGAAAACAAGAAUGUAUCUCAAUCAUUAGAAACUCAUACAAAUUAACAAAUACGUAUAACUAAUUGGGAAGGCUUUCAAUUGGUUAGAAUGGCGUAAUGGUGGUCAACUGAUUCUUUGACUCUGUUUUCCAGUAGGUAGAAAAUUGCAGGCAAAGCAAAGGUAGAGGGUGAACAUUGGGGGCAAAAGAGACAGAGUCCUUUAGCCUUAGGAAAAUGCAUCAGCUAUUUGUUCUUUUUUAUUUAUUUUGAAGGAUGCCUGUUGAAGAGGUACAGUUAAAUAAAUGAGACAAAUAUUUAAAGAGUAAUAAAGAGAGAAUCUGUGAUGAGUGCCUACUAUGCUCUACACUCUUGGCUAGGUGCCAUUUAAUGGUUUAAUCAGAUCUGGGUUAAUAUGUGUAGC
rnacentral:lncRNA from 1 species